AUGAGAUAUCGGCGGCCUCCCUCGAGGAGGACCGCCGGAUGCAAUGAAUAUACUGUUUUGGAACUACCGGGGGGGGGACGCCGGACAGUUCGUGAGGUCUUGGCCCUCUCAAAAGCCAAUUCCCCCAAACUAGUCUUCCUAUGUGAGACUAGACAGGAUUCUGUUAAAGUGGAAAAACUGCGUUGGAGACUCGGUUUGAAAGGCUUUCAUGGUGUGAGUAGCGAUGGAAGAAGUGGUGGUUUGGCUCUGUUUUGGGAUGAGUCG
rnacentral:rRNA from 1 species